rnacentral:rRNA from 1 species
GAACGAGGAUAUAUCCUUCGGGGUAUAAGCCGAGUGGCGCAAGGGUGAGUAAUGCAUAGAUUACCUGCCUCUAGGAUAAGGACAACUUUGUGAAAACGAAGCUAAUACUUAAUAAUACAAAAGAAAAUAAUUUUCUUUUGUCAAUGGGAGGGUAGCAAUACCUUUUGCCUAGAGAGGGGUUUAUGUCCUAUCAGCUUGUUGGUGGGGUAAUGGCCUACCAAGGCGAAGACGGGUAGCCGGUCUUAGAGGAUGGUCGGCCGCACUGGGACUGAGACACUGCCCAGACUUCUACGGAAGGCUGCAGUCGAGAAUCUUUCGCAAUGCCCGAAAGGGUGACGAAGCGACGCCGCGUGAGUGAGGAAGGCCUUAGGGUUGUAAAGCUCUGUCAGGAGUUAAGAAAUAUAAGUGUGUUAAUACCACAUUUAUUUGACGAAGGCUCCAAAGGAAGCCACGGCUAACUCUGUGCCAGCAGCCGCGGUAAUACAGAGGUGGCAAGCGUUGUUCGGAAUUAUUGGGCGUAAAGAGCACGUAGGUGGGUUUGUAAGUCAGAUGUGAAAGCCUUCUGUUCAACGGAAGAAUUGCAUCUGAAACUGCAAAUCUUGAGUGUAGGAGGGGAGAAUGGAACUUCUGGUGGAGCGGUGAAAUGCGUAGAUAUCAGAAGGAACGCCGGCGGCGAAAGCGAUUCUCUGGCCUAUUACUGACACUCAGUGUGCGAAAGCUAGGGGAGCAAACGGGAUUAGAUACCCCGGUAGUCCUAGCCGUAAACGAUGGGCACUAAGUAGAGGGGAUUACCGAUGUUCUCUCUGCCGUAGCUAACGCAUUAAGUGCCCCGCCUGGGGAGUACGGCCGCAAGGCUAAAACUCAAAAGAAUUGACGGGGGCUCGCACAAGCGGUGGAGCAUGUGGCUUAAUUCGAUGCAACGCGAAAAACCUUACCGGGGCUUGACAUGGUAGAAGUAGGAACCCGAAAGGGUAACGAACGGUAUCCAGUCCGUAGCUAUCACAGGUGUUGCAUGGCUGUCGUCAGCUCGUGUCGUGAGACGUUGGGUUAAGUCCCCUAACGAGCGAAACCCUUGUUUUUAGUUACCAGCGGGUUAUGCCGGGUACUCUAGAGAGACUGCCGUCGUCAAGACGGAGGAAGGUGGGGAUGACGUCAAGUCAUCAUGGCCCUUAUGCCCCGGGCUGCACACGUGCUACAAUGGUCGGUACAAACGGAAGCGAAGCCGAGAGGUGAAGCGAAUCCUAAAAAGCCGAUCUCAGUUCGGAUUGGAGGCUGAAAUUCGCCUCCAUGAAGUUGGAAUCGCUAGUAAUCGCGGAUCAGCAAUGCCGCGGUGAAUAUGUUCCCGAGCCUUGUACACACCGCCCGUCAAGCCACCCAAGCAGGAUGCACCCGAAAACAUUAUAUCUAACCAGGGCAACUUGGAGGAAAAUGUUGAAGGAGUGUUUUGUGA